GACGAACGCUGGCGGCGUGCCUAAUACAUGCAAGUCGAGCGAGCGGAACUAACAGAUUUACUUCGGUAAUGACGUUAGGAAAGCGAGCGGCGGAUGGGUGAGUAACACGUGGGGAACCUGCCCCAUAGUCUGGGAUACCACUUGGAAACAGGUGCUAAUACCGGAUAAGAAAGCAGAUCGCAUGAUCAGCUUUUAAAAGGCGGCGUAAGCUGUCGCUAUGGGAUGGCCCCGCGGUGCAUUAGCUAGUUGGUAAGGUAAAGGCUUACCAAGGCGAUGAUGCAUAGCCGAGUUGAGAGACUGAUCGGCCACAUUGGGACUGAGACACGGCCCAAACUCCUACGGGAGGCAGCAGUAGGGAAUCUUCCACAAUGGACGCAAGUCUGAUGGAGCAACGCCGCGUGAGUGAAGAAGGUUUUCGGAUCGUAAAGCUCUGUUGUUGGUGAAGAAGGAUAGAGGUAGUAACUGGCCUUUAUUUGACGGUAAUCAACCAGAAAGUCACGGCUAACUACGUGCCAGCAGCCGCGGUAAUACGUAGGUGGCAAGCGUUGUCCGGAUUUAUUGGGCGUAAAGCGAGCGCAGGCGGAAGAAUAAGUCUGAUGUGAAAGCCCUCGGCUUAACCGAGGAACUGCAUCGGAAACUGUUUUUCUUGAGUGCAGAAGAGGAGAGUGGAACUCCAUGUGUAGCGGUGGAAUGCGUAGAUAUAUGGAAGAACACCAGUGGCGAAGGCGGCUCUCUGGUCUGCAACUGACGCUGAGGCUCGAAAGCAUGGGUAGCGAACAGGAUUAGAUACCCUGGUAGUCCAUGCCGUAAACGAUGAGUGCUAAGUGUUGGGAGGUUUCCGCCUCUCAGUGCUGCAGCUAACGCAUUAAGCACUCCGCCUGGGGAGUACGACCGCAAGGUUGAAACUCAAAGGAAUUGACGGGGGCCCGCACAAGCGGUGGAGCAUGUGGUUUAAUUCGAAGCAACGCGAAGAACCUUACCAGGUCUUGACAUCUAGUGCCAUUUGUAGAGAUACAAAGUUCCCUUCGGGGACGCUAAGACAGGUGGUGCAUGGCUGUCGUCAGCUCGUGUCGUGAGAUGUUGGGUUAAGUCCCGCAACGGGCGCAACCCUUGUUAUUAGUUGCCAGCAUUAAGUUGGGCACUCUAAUGAGACUGCCGGUGACAAACCGGAGGAAGGUGGGGAUGACGUCAAGUCAUCAUGCCCCUUAUGACCUGGGCUACACACGUGCUACAAUGGGCAGUACAACGAGAAGCGAGCCUGCGAAGGCAAGCGAAUCUCUGAAAGCUGUUUUCAGUUCGGACUGCAGUCUGCAACUCGACUGCACGAAGCUGGAAUCGCUAGUAAUCGCGGAUCAGCACGCCGCGGUGAAUACGUUCCCGGGCCU
rnacentral:rRNA from 1 species